rnacentral:rRNA from 1 species
UACGGGGGGGACUAGUGUUAUUCGUAUUGAUUUGGCGUAAAGGGCACGUAGGCUGUUCACUAAGUUAUAGGUAAAAGCCCUCGGCUUAACCGAGGAAGGUCCUAUAAUACUGGUGUACUUGAGUUUGAUAGAGGAUAGUAGAAUUUCUAGUGUAAGGAUAAAAUCUAUAAAUAUUAGAAGGAAUACCAGAAGCGAAGGCGACUAUCUGGAUCAAUACUGACGCUGAGGUGCGAAAGCGUGGGGAGCAAAC